GAUGAACGCUGGCGGCGUGCCUAAUACAUGCCAGUCGAGCGAACAGACGAGGAGCUUGCUCCUCUGACGUUAGCGGCGGACGGGUGAGUAACACGUGGAUAACCUACCUAUAAGACUGGGAUAACUUCGGGAAACCGGAGCUAAUACCGGAUAAUAUAUUGAACCGCAUGGUUCAAUAGUGAAAGACGGUUUUGCUGUCACUUAUAGAUGGAUCCGCGCCGCAUUAGCUAGUUGGUAAGGUAACGGCUUACCAAGGCAACGAUGCGUAGCCGACCUGAGAGGGUGAUCGGCCACACUGGAACUGAGACACGGCCCAGACUCCGACGGGAGGCAGCAGUAGGGAAUCUUCCGCAAUGGGCGAAAGCCUGACGGAGCAACGCCGCGUGAGUGAUGACGGUCUUCGGAUCGUAAAACUCUGUUAUUAGGGAAGAACAAAUGUGUAAGUAACUAUGCACGUCUUGACGGUACCUAAUCAGAAAGCCACGGCUAACUACGUG
rnacentral:rRNA from 1 species